AUGCGCCUUGGCUUCUCCGGCCUCUACCUAAAACGUCUGUGGGGCAUGGUUGAGUGGAUGAGGCGGACUGCGGAGGCGACAGUUGGGCAAGAGGUAUAUCUGAGAAGCAGCAAGUGGGAGCCCAGACGGCGCGACCAGCCCAGCACGCGGGGGAGCAGUCAGGCGCUGCCUUCCCAGUCAGAUAUUACUUCAAAAGCACAGUUACUCUAUUGCUCAGGCAAUGGUUCAGGACACUGGAUCACUGUGAAGACCUCGAGGGUAAUGAGAUUUCGGGGACUGGGACUUCAGGGUUUACACCUUCUGCCAACCACUUCUGUCUUAGAAACGGACGUUUCAUGUCCCUCAGCAGAAGGCUGCCUGAUCGGAAGAGGAAUGGGACAGUGUCUGUUUGCUGCCAUCACCAAGAAAGUUCCCACCACCCUAUAUCCAGGCUGAAAUCUGAUGGGUGGGAGAAUUUUGUUUUCCAAGUACCCUCCAUGACAGCUGGCAGAGAAGCAGCAAUAAACAAGGCAGAGACACCAACACCCAAAAAGGGAGACACACCCACCUGAACACAGCAGGCAGCCACAGCUCCUCCAUCCUGUUGGGGAUGUCAGGCGAGUGUAUUUUCCUCGGUUCUGUCUCGUCUCAACAAAAAUUUGAAGCGACGGACGUUAGAGCCCUCGGCGUGUCAUAGCUGUCGGACAGACUGUGUUAAAGCUCUCAGGUCUCGAACAGACCAUGUUUUAGCUCUUAAACAGAUCAGUGUUACAGCUCUGUGUUACAGCUCAAUUUUAUUUAGAAAAUGUCAGGAAAAUACAUCCUCGCGGCGUGAGGGCAUGCCGAUCCAAAGACGUGAAGAGAGGAGAGAGCCCUGGCCCUUUGGCUCCUCUUUUUCUGUUUUUCCUCCCCCUGGGCCUGCCCUCUGUAAAUUGGGCUAGCCAGGAGUGCUUUGUUCUUCCUGAGGUCCUCACUCCGGUCCUCGGACCUUCUUUUGAACUUCCUUUGUUCUAUUUUUGCUGGCUUUCCCCUUCGUGUUGUCUUUUAGCCACACAAUUUUGGACUCCUGUGUCCUAUUCUAACUGCCUAAGAGGGAUACCUUAAUUCUUUACCCACACAGAUCCUGAGUCUCAGUUUUCUGAGCAGGAUGGAGAAGGAGCCCCUGAAUCUGCACGGGCCCAUUUACCAAGAGAUUCACAUAGAACCAGGCCCUCCCUCAACCUAAACCAUCUCCAGUGUCCUUCACUGAUUCUUUGAACAACGCUUCAUUAAGUACCAAGCAUCAGGGACAUUAUAAUAAAUAGACAGACAAGGUCCCUAUUCUCAGUGGGGGAGGCAGGCGGUAAUGGAAUAAAUGAACAGCAACAGAUCAACAAUGUAAUUCAGACAUGCAACAAAAUGAAGAUGACGGAACAGAGACUGGUGAUAGUGCCCACAACGCUAGAAAGGGGAAUUAAGGAAAGCCUGUUGAAGGUGCUGAUGUUGAGCGUGGACUUUCAUGACAGGAAGGCAACAGCCAUUCCAAACUGGAGGGGAGUGCUCUCCAAGCAGAGGGGAGAGAAGAAACAAAGUCCCUAAGCAGAAACAAGCAAACUUAAAAGGAGAGAGGAGACCUAUGCAAGCAGUCAGAGCUGCUGUGAGGCAGGUGGGAGGCAGCAGACCCUGAACAUGAAGAUCUUGUAGGAUUUCACUGUAAAUGUGAUGAGUCCUUUUCCAAGGAACUCCCCCUUGUCUGUUAGUGAUGCUAAAAACCUAAAAACCCAAGGAAGGAGGGGAAGGAAGCCUGAUUCACUAGGGAUGACAGUGACCAGAGCCAGAGCAUCCUUCCAGGGAGGAAGGGUCUGCUGCUUGGCUCCCAGGCCUGGGGAGUAUCACGGGGGGAAAUGGCAACAGAAGCGGAGUAAGAAGAGAGACACCAGGAGCUGAGCGAGGGUUGAGAGCAGAUCUUACUCGGGAGCUUAGAGCGAAGGGCCAUGAGCAGCCCCCAGGAGCCAGGGCGCUUGGAAGAGGGGGACAGAGGAUUUAAGAAAGUUGGGUUUUCAUGCAGCUUAAUUUCCCUUGGUCAUCCUCUUAAGAAGGCCUUGUGUUAAUAGUUGUUCAGUUCAGUUGCUCAGUCAUGUCCAACUCUUUGAGACCCCAUGAAUCGCAGCACACCAGGCCUCCCUGUCCAUCACCAACACCCGGAGUUCACUCAGACUCACAUCCAUUGAGUCAGUGAUGCCAUCCAGCCAUCUCAUCCUCUAUCGUCCCCUUCUCCUCCUGCCCCAAAUUCCUCCCAGCAUCAGAGUCUUUUCCAGUGAGUCAACUCUUCGCAUAAGGUGGCCAAAGUACUGGAGCUUCAGCUUUAGCAUCAUUCCUUCCAAAGAAAUCCCAGGGCUGAUCUCCUUCAGAAUGGACUGGUUGGAUCUCCUUGCAGUCCAAGGGACUCUCAAGCAAAAGCAUCAAUUCUUCAGCGCUCAGCUUUCUUCACAGUCCAAUUCUCAACGUCCAUACAUGACCACAGGUAAAACCAUAGCCUUGACUAGAUGGACCUUAGUUGGCAAAGUAAUGUCUCUGCUUUUCAAUAUGCUAUCUAGGUUGGUCAUAACUUU
rnacentral:lncRNA from 1 species